rnacentral:rRNA from 1 species
AUGAAGCUGGAAUUGCUAGUAAUGGCAGGUCAGCAUACUGCCGUGAAUACGUUCCCGGGCCUUGUACACACCGCCCGUCACACCAUGAGAGUUGGGGAUACCCGAAGCCUGUGAGCCAACUGUAAAGAGGCAGCAGUCGAAGGUAGAAUCAAUGAUUGGGGUGAAGUCGUAACAAGGUAAC